rnacentral:tRNA from 1 species
GCCCCAGUAGCUCAGCCCGGUGGAGCAAUCGCCUCGUAAGCGAUAGGUCGGGGGUCCGAAUCCCCCCUGGGGCU